GUGAGGGUUGUGGUAUGCAAUGCUGUGUCACUAUUCCCAGGAUGUGGAUGGCGCGUCCAUCUCAAACCAGGAGUCGACAUUGGUACUUUCUCGUAAGGGAGGGUGUCGAGGUCACUAAGGAAGGGUGAACC
rnacentral:SRP_RNA from 1 species